GCCACCUCCCGCCCGCGGUCCCGUCCGGCCCGGCGCUGACGCUCCUCACCGCCUUUCACCACCUUGUCUUGGAACAGUGCAAGGGACGUGGUAGGCUUGAAUCUUUUCCAAGAGAUUCGAAGGUGAAGAUCUUCAGGUUAUUUAGUACCUCAGUAUUCCACAGGAAGGAAAAGCUCCUAUUGGCCUUCAUAAUGUACUUAAAAUAUACCUUAAUUUCGUGUGAGUGAACGCUUCCUCUCCGUUCGGCCUCCCUGACCUGGGUAAUUUCUCUGAGAAAGCAGAAAGCAGCUCUUACAGUCUCCCCAGCGACUCAGGCGGCGGGAGGCACUGGUGCUGUGCUCCGGAUACUUUGACCCCGGAGUCAAGGAGUCACCCUGGGCACUCAGAUGUAUUUCAGAUGUAAUGCAAGUGAGGGAGCCAAAUUUAUUAAGUAAAUCCAGUUUUUAAAUUUAGUAAACUGUAGAAGGGGCUUUAGGAUGUUUUGUUUGGAUCACAUGUUCACAACAUACCUGUACAUUUCAGUCUAUCUGAGCAGAAGGGACAUUUACAGAGGGAGAAAAAGGGUGCAGCAGGGCAUGGGGAGUGGGAUCGCGUCUCAAAGACCUUGGUACGUUUGUUCAGUUACAAAGAUUGUUGUGGUCUGUGCCCUCACUCAUGAUGGAUUCCAGGGCAGCCAGGAGCCACCCCGCAGGCCGGAGUGACGACACGGACGUCACUGGAGAAAGUGUGUGUUCCACUCCCAUUGGGCUGGAAGGAGGCGGAGCAGAGGAGCCUUCUCCUAAGAACCGGGAUCUCAGGGAGGUCAUCCAGGUGGGACCGAGGCCUCUUGCAGAAAGGCUGCGCUGACACCCAAAUGGGGGAGAAAGGCAACAGAACCAAGUGUUUGAGAGCACUGUGAAGGUAGACAGCAUCUCAGCGAGUCUCUCAGUAAGUCACACCUAGCUGCGGUGUGACCUUGGACGUGGCUGGGAAACUUUCUGAAUCUUGACUUCUUCAUCUGCAAGAGGUCACUAAUGGUAAUUACUCUAGAGAUGUGAGGAUGAUGAGGUAAUACAUGUAAGCCCUCAGACCGGUGGUUGGCAUAUGGUAAGCACUUAGCAAAUGGAAGAUAUUAGUAUGAGUACUGGAUCUCAAAGAGGACAUGGCAGCGUGACAUUUAGCCAGGUGUGGGAGCGCAUACCUGUAAAACUCAGCUACUUGGGAGGCCCAAAGUCACUGAAGCAAGAGGAUGGUUUGAUGCCAGCUUGGCUAGGCAUGGUGAAUGCCUGUAAUGCCAGCUGUGUCUGAGGGAGGCCAGCCUGGGCUACACAGUGAGUUCAAGG